rnacentral:rRNA from 1 species
AUUGAACGCUGGCGGCAGGCCUAACACAUGCAAGUCGAACGAGUGGCGGACGGGUGAGUAAUGUCUGGGAAACUGCCUGAUGGAGGGGGAUAACUACUGGAAACGGUAGCUAAUACCGCAUACCAUCGGAUGUGCACAGAUGGGAUUAGCGAUUAGGUGGGUUAAAGGCUCACCUAGGCGACGAUCCCUAGCUGGUCUGAGAGGAUGAUCAGCCACACUGGUACUUAGACACGGUCCAGACUCCUACGUGAGGCAGCAGUGGGGAAUAUUGCACAAUGGGCGCAAGCCUGAUGCAGCCAUGCCGCGUGUAUGAAGAAGGCCUUCGGGUUGUAAAGUACUUUCAGCCGGGAGGCGUUACCCACAGAAGAAGCACCGGCUAACUCCGUGCCAGCAGCCGCGGUAAUUC